AGUGAUUCCUGAGUGGUUUUUCUUGCUAGACUUGUUAGAAUGAUAGUGUCUCUAUCAUAGUACAGUAGAACUCCAAAGGAUAUUUUUUUAUAAUUCAUUUGUAAAUAGAGCUCAAAACAUACGUGAAAAUAAUUAGAGAAAUGUUUGAUGACAGGUUCUCUUUUUUUCAGAUCUGAAUUAUAAAUGGCUAGUAUACAGGUAACUUACCUACUAUGAAAGAAGGAGAGAAAAAAAGUGAAUGGCUAAAUCUUAUGACAUUGAUAAUGCUGCUAGGAACUGAGGCUGAAGUCCUGAGGAGCAAAGGAUUGUGUUGAUGACAUAAACAGAUUGCUUGGCAGUGGUGGCACAUGCCUUUAAUCCCAGCACUUGGGAGGCACAGGUAGGCAGAUUUCUGAGUUUGAGCUAUAGACCAGCCUGGUCUAUAGAGUGAGUUCUAGGACAGCCAGGGCUUCACAGAGAAACCCUGUCUCAAAAAACAACAACAACAAAAACAAAACAAAAGACAAAAAAUAUGGUAUAAGCAGAGAAAUGUAUUUAUCCAUCUUUCCUUCUUAGACAGAGAAGGGCAAGACAGUAGUUAGUCCACACUUGUUAGGUGUGAUACUUUAUAUACUAGCCUGUGAACCUGAUGACUGGUGUCUUAAUGUGUCUCCACAUGUGGAUGCAGAGCAUACUUCCUUUAUUGCUUAUGUGGCUCAGCAGACAGACAUGCCUUCUACUCAGGUAGUACUCAAAGAAAUAGACAAAGGCAAAAAGAAAGCCAUGUUUGAGUUAACCGCUGCCUUAAGUUUGGUCUUUUCAAACAUCAGUUCCC
rnacentral:lncRNA from 1 species